UACGUAGGGGGCAAGCGUUGUCCGGAUUUAUUGGGCGUAAAGAGCUCGUAGGUGGUUCGGUAAGUCGGAUGUGAAAUCUCCAGGCUCAACCUGGAGGGGUCAUUCGAUACUGCCGUGACUAGAGGUCGGUAGGGGAGUGUGGAAUUCCUGGUGGAGCGGUGAAAUGCGCAGAUAUCAGGAGGAACACCCGUGGCGAAGGCGGCUCUCUGGGACGGUACUGACGCUGAGACGCGAAAGCGUGGGGAGCGAACAGG
rnacentral:rRNA from 1 species